UUAUGGCUUCUAUUCUGGAAGAUUUUGUAUUCUGUCGCCACAUGCAAGCAUUGCACAGUCCGUCCUUUUCAGCGUUCUCUGUGGGCUGACUACUGUCAUCAAGAGCCACCGGAUCAACUGCAAUCAGCAUGAACAGGGUUACACUGCAAGGAGUUUCUUUCUCUGAAGAUGGAGUAAUCAACAAUAUUCUACAAAUGUCUACAGAGUUUCUGGCAAGCCCUGCCCAUGGGAUGGGGAUGGUCUCUGCUCAGCUGGAGGUGUUGCUGACUGGGUGAAAUUUAUUUCUGCAACUCAGCCCCUAUCCAAUGAAGUCCUGCAGGACACACUG